AAACAAGAAGAAGAAGAAGAAUAAGAGAGAGAGAGAGUGAGAGAUCAUCCUGAUUCAAAUUCAGGGUAAAUUCAAGCUUAGAAAAGAAAAACUUCAAAGAUAGGAACAACGUGAAAUUAUGGAUUUCCUUAUGGUUUUAUAAGGAAAACCUCACAUUUUAAACCUAAUGGAUAAUUUACAAUGUACCAUGCCAAGUAAAGGAAGAAUUAAGAAUAAAA